rnacentral:rRNA from 1 species
CAGUAGCCACGGUAAUACGUAGGUGGCAAGCGUUGUCCGGAAUUAUUGGGCGUAAAGGGCUCGCAGGCGGUUUCUUAAGUCUGAUGUGAGAGCCCCCGGCUCAACCGGGGAGGGUCAUUGGAAACUGGGAAACUUGAGUGCAGAAGAGGAGAGUGGAAUUCCACGUGUAGCGGUGAAAUGCGUAGAGAUGUGGAGGAACACCAGUGGCGAAGGCGACUCUCUGGUCUGUAACUGACGCUGAGGAGCGAAAGCGUGGGGAGCGAACAGGAUUAGAUACCCCCGUAGUCCCUGUCUCUUAUAA